rnacentral:rRNA from 1 species
UACGGGGGGGGUAAGCGUUGUUCGGAAUUACUGGGCGUAAAGCGUGCGCAGGCGGCUUUGCAAGACAGAUGUGAAAUCCCCGGGCUCAACCUGGGAACUGCAUUUGUGACUGCAUCGCUCGAGUGUGGCAGAGGGGGAUGGAAUUCCGCGUGUAGCAGUGAAAUGCGUAGAUAUGCGGAGGAACACCGAUGGCGAAGGCAAUCCCCUGGGCAUGCACUGACGCUGAGGCGCGAAAGCGUGGGGAGCGAACAGG